rnacentral:rRNA from 1 species
UACGUAGGGUGCAAGCGUUUAAUCGGAAUUACUGGGCGUAAAGCGUGCGCAGGCGGCUUUGCAAGACAGAUGUGAAAUCCCCGGGCUUAACCUGGGAACUGCAUUUGUGACUGCAUGGCUGGAGUGCGGCAGAGGGGGAUGGAAUUCCGCGUGUAGCAGUGAAAUGCGUAGAUAUGCGGAGGAACACCGAUGGCGAAGGCAAUCCCCUGGGCCUGCACUGACGCUCAUGCACGAAAGCGUGGGGAGCAAACAGG